rnacentral:piRNA from 1 species
GAAGUUUCUGGGGGGAAAGCUGG